rnacentral:rRNA from 1 species
UACGUAGGUGGCAAGCGUUGUCCGGAUUUAUUGGGUUUAAAGGGUGCGUAGGCGGUCUUUUAAGUCAGUGCUGAAAUAUCCCGGCUUAACCGGGAGGGUGGCAUUGAUACUGAAGGACUUGAGUAAAGUUGAGGUAGGCGGAAUUGACGGUGUAGCGGUGAAAUGCUUAGAUAUCGUCAAGAACACCGAUAGUGUAGACAGCUUACUAGCUUAACUUGACGCUGAGGCACGAAAGUGUGGGGAUCAAACAGG